GUUACAGCAGCCGCGGUAAUACAGAGGGGGCAAGCGUUGUUCGGAAUUACUGGGCGUAAAGGGCGCGUAGGCGGCCCGCUAAGUCGAACGUGAAAUCCCUGGGCUCAACCCAGGAACUGCGUCCGAUACUGGCAGGCUUGAAUCCGGGAGAGGGAUGUGGAAUUCCAGGUGUAGCGGUGAAAUGCGUAGAUAUCUGGAGGAACACCGGUGGCGAAGGCGGCAUCCUGGACCGGUAUUGACGCUGAUGCGCGAAAGCCAGGGGAGCAAACGGGAUUAGAUACCCUAGUAGUCC
rnacentral:rRNA from 1 species